AGGGGACCCAUUGACAGAGAAGGUAGCAUUCUUCAUUCUUACAUUCAUUCUUACAUUAUAAGAAGGGAUAUUGGCAAGAUAAUUGGUGUCCUCUUUUGGAAACCUCAAUGUUCCCUCUGCCAUUCCUGAUUUUUGUGUGUCAGUGGGGUGGGGGGAGGGGCGCUUUGAGCAGAAGAAAGGACUUCUCUGGGAAUGCCUUGUCACUCCCAAGUUGAGAGAGUAAAACUCUGUUAUAGAAGUCUUCAGUAUAUCAGAGACAUGAAAAAGAAGGGUUCCCAUGCUUCCAAUUAGAUAUAGGACAUUAGUCUCACCAUCACCUAGGAAGCUUCUAUACUGGCUGUGAUGCUUGGUCCCAGCAUAAGCCCUGUAACUGCUUGUCAGGAUGCAAAGAGCACUGUAGGAGCAGUAAGGAGACUGUGCUGGUGUGUCUGUUCUGCUCUGAACUAAUGUAGGUAAUGGUGUGUUUUCAAGCAAAGUUACUUGACCUCCCUCAGCCACCAUUUCCACAUCUGUGAAAUAAAAGUGAUGAUCUUCCUGACCCCCUGAGUUGACAUCUGGGGCUCAGAUGUAACCCUAACCGUAACCCUUUAUGACCCUCUGAGUUGACAUCUGGCUCUCAGCUUGUUGCUCUGGUGUGGCUGAGUGGCUCUGCCAUCUCAGUGGGCCUUGCCUCUCCCUGGUCAGACUGCAGCACAAGCUGGUUCUCCUGCAGCAACAGUGUGAAGAGAAACAGCAGCUCUUUGAGUCCCUCCAGUCAGAGUUACAAAUCUAUGAGGCACUUUAUGGCAAUUCCAAGAAGGGGCUGAAAGAUUCAGCUGUGUCCCCUCCAGUCCGGGAUGUUGGUAUGAAUUCCCCAGCUCUGGUCCUCCCCAGCUCUGCUUCCUCUACUCCUGGCUCAGAAACGGCCAUAAUCAACAGAACACAUGGUAAAUAUGGCAACUAAAGGGCCCAGGGACUGAUGUUGGAAAGUGAUUAAUGCAAACAACCUUUUGUUGUCUCUAAACAUAUUAUCUGUAUUUAGAGAGUUUUCUCUGCAUGCCCCAAGGCCUUUAGCCCUACUCCCUGCACCUUCUGUGGCUGCCUUUCUUGCCAUUGUUCAUCCUCCUGUAGUUUUCCUACUGCUGUUUUUGCUUCAUUGUGCCAUAGUUUUUUC
rnacentral:lncRNA from 1 species